CACACGACCACCACUCCAAGCUCUGUCACGUGGGGCCAUGACCCGGCGUAUGACCUGAUCAAGGACGUCUUCUGUACCAACAUCAACGCUAUCGUCUGUGGGACCAACGUGGACGCCGAUCUCUGCGCCUCGGACGGGAACAUCUACACGAACCAGUGCCUGUUUGCCAAAGUGAAAUGUUUCAAGCCGGACCUGGAGACGGCCAACCCUUCGAGUUGUCAUGAGAACGGCCUCCCCUUGAAGUCGACACCGAGCCCGAUUGUGGUGGGAUAAAUUCAUACCCCAUGUGACGUAAUACAUGUUUCAAAUACCAGUACCAAGCUGUUUUUAAACCACUGGACUGUAACUACGUCAAUGACAUUAAAAUACUCUUUA